GGGGUCCCUCGGCGUGGACCUUCGACGUGUGUGGACGCUGGAGGUCCCUAGAAAGGAUGUCGGGGCUUCUGCUGCAACCUCACGUAUCCGUGAAGAUCUUUCAAUUUUAUAUUUUUAUUAACAUCUUUUUAAAAAUUGAGGGGCGUAAGGAGACAGCUUCACUUUCUUGAAACCCCGUUCUUGGCAUGACUUCUGUUGCUUAUUUUUUGUUUUGACGUAACGCGCUCGCGGACUGCGUGUUGCGUAUGUCGCUGCACCUGAAUCCGCGCCUCACUCCAGCUCUGAACGUCACUUGCCAACAGCGCACAGUACCAAGAGCUGCGAUGGUCCAGUUUUCACUUGUGUGACUUAAUGUAACGGCCAGUUGUAAUAAAUACAUUUCACUUUUUAUUUUU